ACGCUCGACACCUACGGGAGGUAGCAGUGGGGAAUAUUGCACAAUGGGGGAAACCCUGAUGCAGCGACGCCGCGUGAGCGAAGAAGUAUUUCGGUAUGUAAAGCUCUAUCAGCAGGGAAGAAACUGACGGUACCUGACUAAGAAGCACCGGCUAAAUACGUGCCAGCAGCCGCGGUAAUCUGAGCGGCUGGCAAGGC
rnacentral:rRNA from 1 species